CCUACGGGAGGCAGCAGUGAGGAAUAUUGGUCAAUGGACGAGAGUCUGAACCAGCCAAGUAGCGUGAAGGAUGACUGCCCUAUGGUUUGUAAACUUCUUUUAUAAAGGAAUAAAACGAGGCACGUGUGCCUUUUUGCAUGUACUUUAUGAAUAAGGAUCGCCUAACUCCGUGCCAGCAGCCGCGGUAAUACGGAGGAUCCGAGCGUUAUCCGGAUUUAUUGGGUUUAAAGGGAGCGUAGAUGGGUUGUUAAGUCAGUUGUGAAAGUUUGCGGCUCAACCGUAAAAUUGCAAUUGAUACUGGCAGUCUUGAGUAUAGUUGAGGUAGGCGGAAUUCGUGGUGUAGCGGUGAAAUGCGUAGAGAUCACGAAGAACCCCGAUGGCGAAGGCAGCUUACUAAACUGUGACUGACAUUGAUGCUCGAAAGUGUGGGGAGCAAACAGGAUUAGAUACCCUUGUAGUC
rnacentral:rRNA from 1 species